AUUGAACGCUGGCGGCAGGCUUAACACAUGCAAGUCGAGCGGGGGAAGGUAGCUUGCUACCGGACCUAGCGGCGGACGGGUGAGUAAUGCUUAGGAAUCUGCCUAUUAGUGGGGGACAACAUCUCGAAAGGGAUGCUAAUACCGCAUACGUCCUACGGGAGAAAGCAGGGGAUCUUCGGACCUUGCGCUAAUAGAUGAGCCUAAGUCGGAUUAGCCAGUUGGUGGGGUAAAGGCCUACCAAGGCGACGAUCUGUAGCGGGUCUGAGAGGAUGAUCCGCCACACUGGGACUGAGACACGGCCCAGGCUCCUACGGGAGGCAGCAGUGGGGAAUAUUGGACAAUGGGGGGAACCCUGAUCCAGCCAUGCCGCGUGUGUGAAGAAGGCCUUAUGGUUGUAAAGCACUUUAGGCGAGGAGGAGGCUCUUUUGGUUAAUACCCAAGAUGAGUGGACGUUACUCGCAGAAUAAGCACCGGCUAACUCUGUGCCAGCCGCCGCUGUAA
rnacentral:rRNA from 1 species